AUUGAACGCUGGCGGCAGGCCUAACACAUGCAAGUCGAGCGGAUGAAGGGAGCUUGCUCCUGGAUUCAGCGGCGGACGGGUGAGUAAUGCCUAGGAAUCUGCCUGGUAGUGGGGGAUAACGUCCGGAAACGGGCGCUAAUACCGCAUACGUCCUGAGGGAGAAAGUGGGGGAUCUUCGGACCUCACGCUAUCAGAUGAGCCUAGGUCGGAUUAGCUAGUUGGUUGGGUAAAGGCCUACCAAGGCGACGAUCCGUAACUGGUCUGAGAGGAUGAUCAGUCACACUGGAACUGAGACACGGUCCAGACUCCUACGGGAGGCAGCAGUGGGGAAUAUUGGACAAUGGGCGAAAGCCUGAUCCAGCCAUGCCGCGUGUGUGAAGAAGGUCUUCGGAUUGUAAAGCACUUUAAGUUGGGAGGAAGGGCAGUAAGUUAAUACAUUGCUGUUUUGACGUUACCAACAGAAUAAGCACCGGCUAACUUCGUG
rnacentral:rRNA from 1 species